ACAUUUACAAACAUGGCAAUAACAAUGAAACAAGUACUUGGGUAUGUGUUUUCACUUCUAUUUACCAUUCAAUAUCGCACUCGCUGCUGUCAGUCCCAUAACAGAACAUGAGAGCGCAGCGUGUGUUUGGAACUACCCAGGCCUCCAUGAACCAUGUGACCACCCCGCUAGCGAGAUCAAAGAGUGUCACAACUCUCUCUCUCUCUACGGCUCUGGU